rnacentral:lncRNA from 1 species
GUUAUCUGUCCAGACUACUGAGUACAACUUUAACCAUGUGAACAUGAGGUCAGCAUCAUAAAUCUCUGUUCCCAGUGGACCUUGUAGAAAGACACCAUAUGCAGCCAGUCAGCCAGCCAGACCAGGCCGACCGAGUCCAUAACAGGAGACUGACUUUCUGCUGCCUGCCUGUCGGCCUGCUUGGGCUGCCUGUUAUACUCCUGUUCUGCCUGCCUGCUGGGGCUGCUGGAGGGGUGCAGACAGACAGACAGAUGGACAGACAGACUGGCCAAGACACAUAGAUACCUUCUGAUCCUACUGUCUUCCUGCUCUGGUGCUCCUGAAUGUUGCCAAGCAGCAUUGCGACUGUUGGACUAAUUUCUCAAAGCCAACUUUGUUGUUGUUGUGGAAUGUUCUAAACCUGUUCCAGAAUGUUCUAAGACCAUUCUGGAAUGUUCUAAAACUGUUCCAUUGACGUUCCAUUGGAAUGUUCUCAGACUUCCAUUCUCUGAGACGUACAUCAACAGUCAGACAAUGUGAGGUUUCUAAUGUAGCAGACCCUCUCUGGAACUGAUGUGUAGAAGAUGUGAACGAUGAACAUUUCUGAAACAGAGGAUCCAACUGCUUUGUGAAAAGCUUCAUGUACAGUUUUGAAGAUGUUUCUUAUGAAAGAAAUGUAUAUAUUUAAUGCCUGCUUCUUUAUUUUAAUUUUAUAAAAAUAUAGAAGUAUAAAUUGCAGUCUGUAUUAUGUCCC